rnacentral:tRNA from 1 species
GCCUAGCUGACUCAGUUGGUAGAGCAUGUGACUCUUGAUCUCUGGGUCGUGAGUUCUGGCCCCAUGUUGGGCA